GGAAAGUUGCAAAGAACUUUGAAGAGAGAGUUCAAGAGAACGUGAAAUCGCUGAAGUGGAACCGGAGAGAGUUAACUUAACUUGGUAGCUAUAUUCUCUAGGGUCGCUUAACUGUGGCUCUGGGGGGUGGACGCUACCUGUUGUUGCACUGACUGCGUUGAUCGUGCUUUCCGAACAGUGUAGUGUUGCCCACUUUGUGGUGUCUUGCUCGCUGGGAGGUUUGUCAUGGUUAACGUAUAGCCUUAGUCCCGAGGGAGUCAGUGUGAAAGUUAACCACCUUUCCGACCCGUCUUGAAACACGGACCGAGGAGUGUUGGUUAUACGCGAGUCAAGGAGUGGUGAAAACUCUAGGGGCGGAAUGAAAGUAAAGACUAGUUAACUAGUUGACAUGGGAUCCGCUCUUCGGAGCGGCGCACCAUGGCCCUGUCUUGUCUGCUUGCAGAUGGGCAGCGGUAGAGCGUAUAGCUUGCGACCCGAAA
rnacentral:rRNA from 1 species